ACUCCUACGGGAGGCAGCAGUGGGAAUAUUGCACAAUGGGAAGCCAUCGAUGCAGCCAUGCCCGCGCUGUGUGAAGAAGGCCAAUUCGGGCUUUGGUUAAAGACACUUUUCAGUAGGGAGGAAGGUAGUGUAGUUAACACCUGCAUUAUUUGACGUUACCUACAGAAGAAGCACCGGCUAACUCCGUGCCAGCAGCCGCGGUAAUACGGAGGGUGCGAGCGUUAAUCGGAAUUACUGGGCGUAAAGCGCAUGCAGGCGGCCUGUUAAGUCAGAUGUGAAAGCCCGGGGCUUAACCUCGGAAUUGCAUUUGAAACUGGCAGGCUAGAGUCUUGUAGAGGGGGUGAGAA
rnacentral:rRNA from 1 species